rnacentral:rRNA from 1 species
UGGGACUGGGACACGGCCCAAAUUCCUACGGGAGGCAGCAGUGGGGAAUUUUGGACAAUGGGCGAAAGCCUGAUCCAGCAAUGCCGCGUGUGUGAAGAAGGCCUUCGGGUUGUAAAGCACUUUUGUCCGGAAAGAAAUCCUUGGCUCUAAUACAGUCGGGGGAUGACGGUACCGGAAGAAUAAGCACCGGCUAACUACGUGCCAGCAGCCGCGGUAAUACGUAGGGUGCAAGCGUUAAUCGGAAUUACUGGGCGUAAAGCGUGCGCAGGCGGUUUGCUAAGACCGAUGUGAAAUCCCCGGGCUCAACCUGGGAACUGCAUUGGUGACUGGCAGGCUAGAGUAUGGCAGAGGGGGGUAGAAUUCCACGUGUAGCAGUGAAAUGCGUAGAGAUGUGGAGGAAUACCGAUGGCGAAGGCAGCCCCCUGGGCCAAUACUGACGCUCAUGCACGAAAGCGUGGGGAGCAAACAGGAUUAGAUACCCUGGUAGUCCACGCCCUAAACGAUGUCAACUAGUUGUUGGGGAUUCAUUUCCUUAGUAACGUAGCUAACGCGUGAAGUUGACCGCCUGGGGGAGUACGGUCGCAAGAUUAAAACUCAAAAGGAAUUGACGGGGGACCCGCACAAGCGGGUGGAUGAAGUGGGAUUAAUUUCGAUGCAACGCGAAAAAACCUUACCUACCCUUUGACAUGGUCCGGAAUCCUUAAAAAGAUUCGGGGAGUGCUCCGAAAGAGAACCCGGCCCACAAGGUGCUUGCAUGGGUUGUCCUCCAGCUCCUUGUCCUUGAAAAUGUUGGG